rnacentral:rRNA from 1 species
AUGCACGCUGGCGGCGUGCCUCAUACCUGCCAGUCGAGCGAACAGACGAGGAGCUUGCUCCUCUGACGUUAGCGGCGGACGGGUGAGUAACACGUGGAUAACCUACCUAUAAGACUGGGAUAACUUCGGGAAACCGGAGCUAAUACCGGAUAAUAUAUUGAACCGCAUGGUUCAAUAGUGAAAGACGGUUUUGCUGUCACUUAUAGAUGGAUCCGCGCCGCAUUAGCUAGUUGGUAAGGUAACGGCUUACCAAGGCAACGAUGCGUAGCCGACCUGAGAGGGUGAUCGGCCACACUGGAACUGAGACACGGUCCAGACUCCUACGGGAGGCAGCAGUAGGGAAUCUUCCGCAAUGGGCGAAAGCUUGACGGAGCAACGCCGCGUGAGUGAUGAAGGUCUUCGGAUCGUAAAACUCUGUUAUUAGGGAAGAACAAAUGUGUAAGUAACUAUGCACGUCUUGACGGUACCUAAUCAGAAAGCCACGGCUAACUACGUG